AACGAACGCUGGCGGCAGGCUUAACACAUGCAAGUCGAACGCCCCGCAAGGGGAGUGGCAGACGGGUGAGUAACGCGUGGGAACGUGCCCUUCGCUUCGGAAUAGCCCCGGGAUACUGGGAGUAAUACCGGAUACGCCGUAUUGGGAAAGAUUUAUCGGCGAAGGAUCGGCCCGCGUUAGAUUAGCUAGUUGGCGGUGUAAUGGACCACCAAGGCUACGACCUAUAGCUGGUCUGAGAGGAUGAUCAGCCACACUGGGACUGAGACACGGCCCAGACUCCUACGGGAGGCAGCAGUGGGGAAUCUUGGACAAUGGGCGCAAGCCUGAUCCAGCCAUGCCGCGUGAGUGAAGAAGGCCUUAGGGUUGUAAAACUCUUUCGCCGGAGAAGAUAAUGACGGUAUCCGGAGAAGAAGCCCCGGCUAACUUCGUGCCAGCCGCCGCCGUAAAAC
rnacentral:rRNA from 1 species